CAAUAGCGUAUAUUAAAGUUGUUGCGGUUAAAAAGCUCGUAGUUGGAUUUCUGCUGAGGACGACCGGUCCGCCCUCUGGGUGAGUAUCUGGCUUGGCCUUGGCAUCUUCUUGGAGAACGUAGCUGCACUUGACUGUGUGGUGCGGUAUCCAGGACUUUACUUGAGGAAAUUAGAGUGUUUAAAGCAGGCGAUCGCUGUGAAUACAUUAGCAUGGAAUAAUGAGAUAGGACUUUGGUACUAUUUUGUUGGUUUGCGCACCAAGGUAAUGAUUAAUAGGGAUAGUUGGGGGUAUUCAUAUUCAAUUGUCAGAGGUGAAAUUCUUGGAUUUAUGGAAGAUGAACUUAUGCGAAAGCAUUUACCAAGGAUGUUUUCAUUAAUCAAGAACGAAAGUUAGGGGAUCGAAGAC
rnacentral:rRNA from 1 species